UAUGGAGUGGCAGAGUGGUCCAAGGCUCUGGUUAAAGACAGGAGUGGGUUCGAAUCCCUCCUCCGUAG
rnacentral:tRNA from 1 species